rnacentral:lncRNA from 1 species
AACAACUAAGAAAAAUAUAAAACUAUCCCCCUCUAACCGACCGGGACACCACCGCAGACCAACCAACAAUCUCCACGCUUCCCUUCAGAGUCAUCGGCAGACCCCCUGUUAUGGCUAUCGACAAACACUAAUACUCAUCAUCAGCACGAGCACGUCACCACCUCUGGACUUAGUCACAUCUAAUUGUCUCUUCAUCGGCAACCACCUU